CAGCGGACGGAGCCGGGUCCCCCGGGUCCCCGGGGCCGAGCACAGGUCCCAAGUGCUCAGCGGCCGAGCGACGGGGCUCCACGGGAGGGACACCCGUGAGCGCAGCGGGGGCGGGAGCGGCGGGGUGAGGGCCCACGCGGAAGCGCUCGCCCGCGGGGGGCGUGACCCCAGGCCCCCAGCCCGCGCGCUCCGGACCCUCGCUCUCCCGCCGUGGAUGCCCGCGGCCGCCGCGAAGCCUCAGUAUCCAGGAAGAGCGAGGCGCGCCGGGAAGGGCGGGCGCAAACUGCAACUCCCAGGAGGCUUUGCGGAGGCGGGCGCUUGCCUCCGGCCAAUAGGGACGAAGGGGCGGGGCCACGGAGGGCGCGCCGCGGGCUGAUUGGCUGGGGGCGCGGGGGCAGGGCCACGGAGGGCGCGCUUAGGGCGGACCGGCCGGGGGCUCCGAGGGCUCCGGAGGGCGCGUGUCGGGGCCGCGGUCAUGGAGGCAACUGGCGGCGGCUUCCGGAAGCGGGGGGAUCAACACGCAGCUUGGAGCCAUUUCCCCACCAGCCCUACGCCCCGUUGCUGGAAAACCCCGUGUCCCAGGGGCCCCCCCGAGCUCCAUCCUCUGAGCUGCCAGCCAGCGCUUGGGGGAGGGGGACCUGGGAUGCCCCGUCACUUCCCCCGUGUCGCAGCAGAAGCGGCUAUCCGCAGCGUCCGACAGGCCCAGGCAGAGGACCUGGCUC
rnacentral:lncRNA from 12 species